UUCAUUUUCCUUCAGGUGUAGGAUUUAAUCAGCUUACCCCUCUUACUGAAGGACAUACCAGCUUUGGAGAAGGAUGCCAUGACAUUCAAACCACAGAUUACAUUAUUAUUGGCACGAAAAAAACCCCUUGGUUAGAGGAACAUGUAGGACAAAGAGACCACUGUGUAUGAACGAAAGGAUCAGAACUUUUGCCCCAAUGUGAAGAGUUUGUCUUUUACCUGAUCUUCCAGAGAAGAUUCCUCUUGAGAUUUUCCUCUGAUUAUUUCUUCUGGUUUUCCUUCUUGCUUUGUUGUUUAGCAUCAAUGAGAGAAAGGCAAAAUGAUAAACAUCUGCCUAACAUGAACUCGAGCUGUAGCCAACUUCAAUUCUCGUCAACAUUGAUUUUAGCGCUCUGAUUAUAGCCCAAAUCCUCUGCUUUCUUUUGAUCUUCUUUCUGAGUAU
rnacentral:lncRNA from 1 species